AAUGAACGUUGGCGGCGUGGAUUAGGCAUGCAAGUCGAGCGAGAACCGGAGCAAUCCGGGGAAAGCGGCAAACGGGGUAGUAAUGCAUCGGUCACGUGCCCUCAGGUCGGGGAUAGCCAGGGGAAACUCUGAUUAAUACCCGAUAAUCUCGAGAGAGCAAAGAUUUAUUGCCGGAGGAGCGGCCGAUGUGACAUCAGGUAGUUGGUGAGGUAACGGCCCACCAAGCCAUAGACGUCUAGGGGGCGUGAGAGCGCGACCCCCCACCACUGGGACUGAGAUACUGCCCAGACACCUACGGGUGGCAG
rnacentral:rRNA from 1 species